UUUACAUAUAAAAAAAAUUUAUCGGUAUAUUAAUUGAUGAAUAUAGUAAACUAUAUAUAACCAAUAUUCAGAAUUAUUUUACUAAUUCUUUCAAAACAAUAUUAUAAUAGUAUAUUGGGAUUAAAAAAUUAAAAAAAGUCUGUACUAAAAGGUGACACUAGAAGGUACUCAUGCAUAUUUAUCGGCACGUAAGCGUACCAUGUGUUGGCACAAAGGCAUUCUAGUAUUAUACUGUAUCAGGCAACAAUCGACGCGCCUCCGUGCCACAUCACUCUAAUUUUUACUACUCCUUCCUUUUUAGGUGUACAGAAAGUAUUUUUCGAUAUAUAAAAUAGAAUGGAUCAUGGAUCCACAUUGAAUACGCUUAUUUGGUGUUCAUGCGAGGCUUAUAAAAGCAUCAGCCAUACACAUAAUUAGUUAAUUUGGAUUCAGCAAAAAUUCGGUACGGAUAUAAUAUGUAUAAAAUUCGUUUUCUAAUUUUUAAAUUUGUUGAAAAAUUCGGCUUAAAAAACGGAUUCGGUAUAAAAUAUAAAAUAUAAGAUAUAAAAUAUAAGAUAAUCUAUAUUUAAAAAUAAAAAUUAUAAGUUUUUUAUUUAUAUUUUCAAUAAUUCAGGAAUAAUUUACGAAUUAUUCAACUGGCCCAAAAAUUCGCGAAUAAUUUUUUUUUAAAAAAAUUGGUAAAGUGACCGUUUAAUUCGAAUUUUUAAUAAUUCGUGAAUAAUUUACGAAUAAUUCACGAAUUAACUAACAAAGUCGUAAAUUAUUCGUAAAUUAUUCAAUUUACGAAUAAUUUACGAAUUAACUAGCCCAAAAAUUCACAAAUAAUUUUUUUAAAAAAGAAAAUUCAUAAAAUGACCGUUUAAUUCGAAUUUUUAAUAAUUCGUGAAUAAUUUACGAAUAAUUCACGAAUUAACUAACAAAAUCAUACACAAUGAUGUAU
rnacentral:lncRNA from 1 species